GGUAACUCACUGUACUCAUGGAAACAGCUGUAAAAUACAGCAAAUGUAACAAUUGGUGAUGUUACUGAGAUUAUACUAUUACACCAUCUGGAUUUCUGUUGUUUUCUACUGUAGAUCUAAGAGUAAUUACCUAAAUCCUCAUUCAGAGUGUAUUACCAUAAAAUGCAAUUCAUUGUGAGAGUAGUAUCACAUGUAAACUACAAUAUGCAGCAUCAUUUUUAACUUAAGGAGUAAGUUGCAGCUACACUAUUUGAAGUAUUUGAAGUAUAACUGAAGUAUACUAAGAAGUACAACGAAAUUGCAUUGCAGUGCUUUUUAAACAAGAAUUUGUCACAAAUUCUUGUGUAAUGUCUUUUACCUUCUGAACAGAGUAAGUGGGAUAAAAAAAAAAAAUGUUUAAACCGUGAGUGAAAAGGGUUAAUAGUUAAUAAACCUCAACUCUCAAAUCAUUUUCUCACCUGUUUGCAAUAUAAUUCUGGUACGUGAACUUUGAGUGUAGUUCUCUGCAAAGGAAGCCUUCUGAUAGUUGGAACUAUUAUCUGACUGUCUGGGGAAUGGAGUGAUUUGUUACAUGUGAAAAAUAUGUUUCAACUGGAUUUUAAUUACUAUGUUUCAACCAGAAGUAAGCCAAAUAUAAACUAAAAAGUAAAUCAAUAGUAUACUUGUAAGUUUAGUAUUGUGUUAGAGUAGAGUAUAUUUUAAGUAUACUCUUAUAGACUGGAAAGGACAUUAUGCUAGUAUAGAGUAUACUUCUAUAUACUAAAACGGGGGCCAAUGUAGGUAACGUAUACUUAGACUGAUUUCCUUUCUAUAUGUUAUAUUUAAAGUAAUGUUUAAAAGUUACUUCAUUUAGCAGGGUGUAGCUUUUUACUCUUCUUAUUCUUUUUUAUACUGGAACUUCAUUGUUUCUGUAUAAGGUGGUACUUUUAAGACACCUCUGCCUAACUACAGUGAACUAACCAGAAGUCUCGGAAUAUGCUCUGGUGGUCAUUUUACACAAGUUCAGGUGUCACACCUAUGAAACCUACACCACUAACCAGCAUCAGUCCUACAACUUCACUCUCAAAUUUAAUAAAUUCUGGGACAAGCAGAAACUGUAUUUUUAGCGGUGCAUUUUGUGGCAGGCCAGACUGCUAUAAAAUGCACUCUCCUUGUAGCACCACUUCAUCUUGGUUCAGAAGAGAUGUCCUGGAUAUACAUGAUAAUGCAACACGGGUGUUUUUGUUUGUUCAUGUUUAGCGCGUUGGGUUGUGAUUUUAAAGCGAAUGUUACGUUUUUAAAGCGUGUUAUGCGACAGGUGUGUGUAGCACUGGUUACACAUCUCAAUGGGAGAGCAAUAGUCGAGACCACACCUUUACCUGACGUACAACAUGACGUAUGGCGCACACUUUCAAAACAACAAUGGAGGAUAGCAGAUAUUGAUCGAGGCGGCUAAUGCUCCUUUCGCUGGUUGCCAACCACCAUUAAAUAACAAGAAGAAGAAAAUAUUGAUCUGCUUUUCUUAGUUUUGCACGUUUAAGACACAAUUCAGACUCAAACAAAGCUGCAAAGCAGGAGAACAACAUGACCAUCAACUAUUCUGUGCCACAGUCCCAGUUUGCUGCAGCACAGAGUGAUGAUGAGAUGGUGGAAGUACAACAGAGACAAUUUACGGACCGUUAACAUGUGCAACUUAGAAGUAGUCAGAGGUAACUGGAUGGAGUUCAGUCAGGUUAAAUGCACGGUUGAUUGGAUUAUAUCUGAAGAUCGUAUGCUAUUCGUGACAACUCUGCUAGACUCCAAAUUUCUCGUCCAUGAGGGAGUAUCUCAAAAGUAAAUGAAACAACUAAACUUAACACUUUUUCCCUAAAACGGACUGACAUGGGAAACAUUAAAGUUGGAUUGACACCAGCUAAUCAGUCUGAAGGGAUGGAAAUUGAAGAGGAACUCACAAGCCUCCUGCCGACACUAGACAGAGAGAAAAUAAUCUGCAUUGUAGAACAUCUGACGGACGUUAUUGGUGUACAACAAAAAAGUGAUCUUUUGUUUGUGGAGGCGGAAGAUCUCAAACCCUUUCGCACACCAAUUCAAAUACGUAAACUACUUCUUGCAUUUAAAGGAGGUUUGUGUAGGUUCUGUACAAAUCAUAGAGUUGAGUCUAUGAUUUGAAGGUCACUCAUAGACUCAUAUGUCACUGAUUAGCUUUUUUUUCUCUUCACCAUACUACACAUGUACUUUGACAGUAUAAUAUUGAAGAGCGUUUUGGGGCUCACAUUGUCUGGUAGAUAAUUAACACGGAAAACAUAAACAAAAGUAGACACUAAAUCUAACACCAUUAACCUGUCAUUGGUAGUGGUACAACUAAGGGUUUGAAAUUGUGACAUACUGUAAAAUAUAUUGACUCAAGCUCUUUUCAAUGCAAGACCUUGAGUUUGUAGUUCUUUUGCAGUCCUGGGAUUGCUUCUUUUCAUCUUCAGACAAGGUCCCCAAAAACUGCCUUGCCGUUACUACUCAAUCCUAAUUGAAGGGUUCAUUUUUUAGUGAGGACAUAUUUGUUGACAUAGUAGCUUUUUAAGGUAGCUUUUCCAAUGAUCUUUAUUUAUUUAUUUUUUUAGACGGCAAUAGACCAGAGAACCUGAAUGACACCAUUACUCUGGAGCCUUGCCCUGCUGCAUCAGCUGAAACAUCAAGCCAUCCACCUCACCCCUCCUCCUCCACGUCCACCACUAUGUACAACCAUUACUCCAGCUCUUGGGUCUCACACUUACAGAUUCCUUGGGAAAGAUUUCCACUCCGACUGUGGCAUGCAAUCACAAGAGGGGACAGAGCUCAUCCAGAGGACAGGAGAAGUAUGGUUAGAAUUGUUGUGGAGGCAAUGCAAGUUCACUGCAGGAACCCUAAACGUGCAUCUUGUGAAGAAGUUGUUAAAAUCAUUGUAAACAGAUACCCUCAAACAUUUGCAGAUUUUACUGAAAAGGGAGAAAGACUGGGUUGUGGACAUUAUUCACUACUGAGAAGCAUCAAAUCUAGAGUUGAACAUGUUAAUCGAGAUAAUACAACACAUAGGCUUCGUCAAACAAAGAGAACCAGGAAUGAGGAAGACUGCAGUUCCAAUAGUAAUGCAACCUCACCUAAAAAAGUUAGAUGCCUUGUUGAUAGCUAUGGUUGUAUAAAUUGGCAACCAGUUGAACUUCCUGAGGGGGAAACGCCAGCUUCUUUAGAGGAAAAGAAGUACAUCUUGUUAACAAUUUUUAAUUCAGAAGGACCUGGAGCUGUGGAGAGACCUGAUGUGGAUGACUUCAUGUGCCUCACAUAUAUUUCUCAGUGGCAGCUUAUCAACAGUUGUCCCUCACUUUCAGUAGCUGAAAUUCAGGAGCAGUGGCCAUUCUUGUUUACUCGGAAAGGUCUUUCGAACCACUUUUACAAACUCACAGGGAUCGAUAUCAGUGAGCGCUUAGGUCAGGCCCUCAUAACCAAAGGCAGAAGGAUUAUUAACUAUUUCUCCAGCCAGAAGCUCAAAUGGAACCUUGGUAUACGGACACUCAUCCAGCAGAUAGAAAGUGAGGGAGUUUUGACCAACAACAAGGUUGGCACAGCAGCCAUACUUCUCAUGAUGAAGUAUUACAAGGAAGAUGAAGACUCCCUCUUUGUCUUAGCAGAUGAAACAUCUACCAGGAUGUCCCUUGAAGCAGAGAGCAACCUGCCAAUCACUCCAAGGCUGAUUAUGCUUGGACAAAGUUCAAUGACCGCCACCUGCUGGAUGGUGAGCGCAGAGGGGCGUGUAAUUGUUGAGCUGGACAAAGAGAACACCUUUGCUGAUGAGAUGUCAGUCUUCUUUGGUUCAUUCUAUGUAUUGAACCUGGAAUACCAGGAGUCAGCGUGUGCAACAUUGGAACUAAUUCAGAGGUAUGUUUGAACAGUUAGCUAAUAGUGAUAGAUGAUGACUAAAUUAUCCCUAAGUAAUUCAUUUUUUCACAUCACAACUCAAUGUUACUGUAUGUUACUAUUUAUUAUGGCAUGUUUUCAGUGUUGGGAAGGUUACUUUUAAAAUGUAUUCCACUACAGAAUACUGAAUACAUGCCCCAAAAUGUAUU